AUCCAGCUGAAGAGCCCUAAAUAGGACGAAACGCUCGUCAAACUGAAU
rnacentral:hammerhead_ribozyme from 1 species